GAAAUGUCCAGCAGGAAUUUGGGGGUGAGUGGAAUAAUUUAAAGCCUUCAGGAGGAAAUUGCAAAUAAUUUGCAAUGUUCUUUAUGCCAAAAAAGAAGAGCAACACUUAACAUCUGUACAGACUGCUCGGGGGUUGGGGAAAGACCUCAACAAAGUAUUCCUUAGAAUGUAUAUAAUACAAAUGCCUACACUGGCAAUCUUUUUUUUGAGUGUGGGGCUGGGGUCCUGUAGGUUUGUUUUCAAACAGAUGGAUAAACAGAAACAAAACCUCUCCUUCUAAUCCCUGUCUCCUGUAGCCCCUCGCCGAGGAAAGCUGUUUCCAGAGCCGCGGUGUUUUGCGAGGAACUGGAAACCACGUAGCUCCAGGUACCUCAUGAGGCAGAUUUCCUCAUUCCCAGCAUCUGAGGAAGUCCAGGAGCUUAGAGAACAUCUUCCCUGGGCAAUAGGAGAUCUACUGGGCUCCUUUUUGGAGAUGGAGAACAAGCCGCUGAGAAGGAUUUUUCUAAAGACUUAUCUCCUGGCAUGGAGAUUUCCUUUACAGACCAAACUAGAAAGAGGGAGAUGUGAUGGUAUUUAAGGGUGCUUAAUUAUGUUAGUUACUUUUGGGAUGAAGGUGUUAGGCUUAACAGGACUCCUCACUGAUUAAUGUGAUUUUACUCAUGAGGGUAACUGUUUACCUGCUGGGAAAAAUAUCCAGGACAUAGGACUCCAUUGCUGCUGUCUUUAGAGCCUCCCCGUCUGGACUAACCAGUGACUAGUGUGUGCCACUAGGUUGAAAAUCGUCUCCCAUCCACAUCCAGCACACUUCUGAUUUCAGUCAGCCAGAGCUUACUUCAAAAUACCAAAAGGGAUUGUAAAAAUCCAGAUUUUCUUUUUGUGCUUUAUACUGAACAUGUGAACAACAAUGCUGUGUUCCCCUGAGCCUCAAUCUUGAAAAACACAUUUGUGCUUAACUUUAGGCAUUUGGCUAAUCCUGAUGACUUGAUUUGGAUUACUUAGUUGCUUAUCAUUCACCAGAACCUCAAAGCACUUUGUGAGAUGAAGACACAUUACUGGAUGUAUCACUAGGACUCCUUGCACUUCGUAGUGAAGACCAAAUGCUGCAGGAUAAGACAAUGGUUUCAGUAGCCUUUGUAGACCACAGCUACACUGAAUUAAAAUGAGUGAGAGUUUUACCCAAUUAAAAGGAAUCAUAUAAUCAAUUCACCAGUCCUAGUGUUUAAUUUUAUAUUUAAAUCAGUGUGGUAAAGACAAUGGUGAAUGAGCCAUAUUUUGGGGAUGUUUUGCUUCUUCUCAUACUUCUGAGAGUGCCUAAUUGCACAUAUAAGUUAAACCAAUGCUGUGGGGAGGUCACUGGAGAGACAGAUAUCCAGGACAGAGGACAGGAUGCUUUAAUACGGUCAUUUUACUUGAUUACUAGGCACAUCCCUACAGGUUGAAUUCCUCUCUCUAGGGCAAACAGUGAAUCAAGGAGUGGCAUAAGUUGGCAUUUCCACUUCUUCAUCACUGUUUAAGUCUGUCAUUUGGUCUAUGGGAUGUAGGACAUGGGUAGCAAGCAGAGAAGCCACUACAGGUUGUGUUUGUCUGCUCGGAAAAAAAAAACAAAACAGGGAAGGUGCUAUAUUUAGCAAGAAUGAAAUGGAAUUCUCUGUGUCAUCUGUGCUCCAGGGACUGGAGGCCAGCUCAUGAGACCAUAAAAGCCAAGGGGUCUGGAAGAGGGAUUUCUACAUUAGCUCCCCACUCCUUUCAGGGUCAGCUAAGGGAAGAGAUCUGUGCAACUGGUGCUAAUCCAAU
ensembl:lncRNA